rnacentral:rRNA from 1 species
GACGAACGCUGGCGGCGUGCUUAACACAUGCAAGUCGAACGGAAAGGCCCUGCUUUUGUGGGGGGCUCGAGUGGCGAACGGGUGAGUAACACGUGAGUAACCUGCCCUUGACUUUGGGAUAACUUCAGGAAACUGGGGCUAAUACCGGAUAGGAGCUCCUGCUGCAUGGUGGGGGUUGGAAAGUUUCGGCGGUUGGGGAUGGACUCGCGGCUUGUCAGCUUGUUGGUGGGGUAGUGGCUUACCAAGGCUUUGACGGGUAGCCGGCCUGAGAGGGUGACCGGCCACAUUGGGACUGAGAUACGGCCCAGACUCCUACGGGAGGCAGCAGUGGGGAAUAUUGCACAAUGGGCGGAAGCCUGAUGCAGCAACGCCGCGUGCGGGAUGACGGCCUUCGGGUUGUAAACCGCUUUCGCCUGUGACGAAGCGUGAGUGACGGUAAUGGGUAAAGAAGCACCGGCUAACUACGUG